UAAGAAGUCUGAGAACAGUGAAGAAGAUCAUGUGAUGAAUGGAUUUGGAUCUUACAAAAAGUACAUACUAGCACUCUCAUAUGCAGCCACUAAGCACUGUGAUUAUCUGGUUGACUUGACUCAAGAACUCUUCCAAAGAAAUGGCAGUGGUACAGCUACUUUUUGUUGAAUUUGAAAACGAAUUUGCUACGAAAACGAUAGGACAAACGCGCGACGAUAGACAGAAGUCAGCAGCGGAAGCGUAUCGAAAUCAGAGUCGGAACGGAACCGUGGCCUUAGCUGGAGCUGGACCUGGAGCCAGAGCCGGAGCACAGAACACACGCGAGCGCGAACGGAACGGAACGGAAAGAAAGACGAGCAGCGAUUAAGCUGGAGGCGGUCAGUGGGCAAAGAUUAAAUAAGGCGUGAAAUUCGCUCGCCAGCGGAUUUUUUCUUGUUAACUUAUUUGAUUUUGUUGCUUUCUGUAAGCGAAAUAUAUUUUUCACUCAAUUUCGUUUCAUU